GCCCGCGUAGCUCAGAGGUAGAGCACUCCCUUGGUAAGGGAGAGGUCAGCGGUUCAAUCCCGCUCGCGGGCUCCA
rnacentral:tRNA from 1 species